GGGGGAUAUUGCACAAUGGGGGAAACCCUGAUGCAGCGACGCCGCGUGAGCGAUGAAGUAUUUCGGUAUGUAAAGCUCUAUCAGCAGGGAAGAAAAUGACGGUACCUGACUAAGAAGCACCGGCUAAAUACGUGCCAGCAGCCGCGGUAAUACGUAUGGUGCAAGCGUUAUCCGGAUUUACUGGGUGUAAAGGGCGUGUAGCCGGGAGGGCAAGUCAGAUGUGAAAUCCACGGGCUCAACUCGUGAACUGCAUUUGAAACUACUCUUCUUGAGUAUCGGAGAGGCAAUCGGAAUUCCUAGUGUAGCGGUGAAAUGCGUAGAUAUUAGGAGGAACACCAGUGGCGAAGGCGGAUUGCUGGACGACAACUGACGGUGAGGCGCGAAAGCGUGGGGAGCAAACAGGAUUAGAUACCCUGGUAGUCCACGCUGUAAACGAUGAAUACUAGGUGUGCGGGGACUGACCCCCUGCGUGCCGCAGCUAACGCAAUAAGUAUUCCACCUGGGGAGUACGAUCGCAAGGUUGAAACUCAAAGGAAUUGACGGGGGCCCGCACAAGCAGUGGAGUAUGUGGUUUAAUUCGACGCAACGCGAAGAACCUUACCAAGUCUUGACAUCCUCUGACGAACGUAGAAAUACGUUUUCUCUUCGGAGCAGAGAGACAGGUGGUGCAUGGUUGUCGUCAGCUCGUGUCGUGAGAUGUUGGGUUAAGUCCCGCAACGAGCGCAACCCUUAUGGUCAGUUACUACGCAAGAGGACUCUGGCCAGACUGCCGUUGACAAAACGGAGGAAGGUGGGGAUGACGUCAAAUCAUCAUGCCCUUUAUGACUUGGGCUACACACGUACUACAAUGGCGUUAAACAAAGAGAAGCAAGACCGCGAGGUGGAGCAAAACUCAGAAACAACGUCCCAGUUCGGACUGCAGGCUGCAACUCGCCUGCACGAAGUCGGAAUUGCUAGUAAUCGUGGAUCAGCAUGCCACGGUGAAUACGUUCCCG
rnacentral:rRNA from 1 species